GUGGGGAAUAUUGGACAAUGGGCGCAAGCCUGAUCCAGCCAUGCCGCGUGAGUGAUGACGGCCUUAGGGUUGUAAAGCUCUUUCGCACGCGACGAUAAUGACGGUAGCGUGAGAAGAAGCCCCGGCUAACUUCGUGCCAGCAGCCGCGGUAAUACGAAGGGGGCUAGCGUUGUUCGGAUUUACUGGGCGUAAAGGGAGCGUAGGCGGAUUGUUAAGUCAGGGGUGAAAUGCCGAGGCUCAACCUCGGAACUGCCUUUGAUACUGGCGAUCUUGAGUCCGGGAGAGGUGAGUGGAACUGCGAGUGUAGAGGUGAAAUUCGUAGAUAUUCGCAAGAACACCGGUGGCGAAGGCGGCUCACUGGCCCGGAACUGACGCUGAGGCUCGACAGCGUGGGGAGCAAACAGG
rnacentral:rRNA from 1 species